GAUAGCUCAGUUGGUUAAAGCGUAGUGCUGACAAUGCCAACGUUGCAGGUUCAAUCCCCGUAUGGGAUAGCUGCA